UACGUAGGGGGCAAGCGUUGUCCGGAAUUCAUUGGGCGUAAAGAGCGUGUAGGCGGCCAGGUAGGUCGGUUGUGAAAACUGGAGGCUCAACCUUCAGAGGUCGACCGAAACCACCUGGCUAGAGUCCGGGAGAGGAGAGUGGAAUUCCUGGUGUAGCGGUGAAAAUGCGCAGAUAUCAGGAGGAACACCGGUGGCGAAGGCGGAUCUCUGGGCCUUACCUGACGCUGAGGCGCGAAAGCUAGGGGGAGCAAACGGG
rnacentral:rRNA from 1 species